ensembl:lncRNA
GAUUCACCACACCCACAUGUGGUCCAUAUAAGGUACCUAACGCCUGAGGAAGAGAAGAAAGUGUCUCAUAAAAUGCAUGAAGAAAAGAAAAAUCUACUGGUGGCUGAUAUUUCAAUGAAGGAAAGGAAAUAAGCUCCAGCAUGUUCUAAGAUCCCACUUCCUCCCAAUCUGGAGCUUGACCUUGCUGCACAGGCCCAUCAGGAUCCGUAGAAUUACACCUUCUCCAAGGCACCAUAGAGCACUGAGAAAUGACUGAAGUGGAG